CCGAGUUUACAACUCCCAAACCCCUGUGAACAUACCUUAACGUUGCCUCGGCGGAUCAGCCCGCUCCCGGUAAAACGGGACGGCCCGCCAGAGGACCCAAACCCUACUGUUUUUAGUGUAUCUUCUGAGUAACAAAAACAAAUAAAUCA
rnacentral:misc_RNA from 1 species